rnacentral:rRNA from 1 species
GAUGAACGCUGGCGGCGUGCCUAAUACAUGCAAGUCGAGCGAACAGAUGAGGAGCUUGCUCCUCUGACGUUAGCGGCGGACGGGUGAGUAACACGUGGAUAACCUACCUAUAAGACUGGGAUAACUUCGGGAAACCGGAGCUAAUACCGGAUAAUAUAUUGAACCGCAUGGUUCAAUAGUGAAAGACGGUUUUGCUGUCACUUAUAGAUGGAUCCGCGCCGCAUUAGCUAGUUGGUAAGGUAACGGCUUACCAAGGCAACGAUGCGUAGCCGACCUGAGAGGGUGAUCGGCCACACUGGAACUGAGACACGGUCCAGACUCCUACGGGAGGCAGCAGUAGGGAAUCUUCCGCAAAGGGCGAAAGCCUGACGGAGCAACGCCGCGUGAGUGAUGAAGGUCUUCGGAUCGUAAAACUCUGUUAUUAGGGAAGAACAAAUGUGUAAGUAACUAUGCACGUCUUGACGGUACCUAAUCAGAAAGCCACGGCUAACUUCGUG